rnacentral:rRNA from 1 species
UACGUAGGGUGCAAGCGUUGUCCGGAAUUAUUGGGCGUAAAGAGCUCGUAGGCGGUCUGUCGCGUCUGCUGUGAAAACUCAGGGCUUAACCCUGAGCUUGCAGUGGGUACGGGCAGACUAGAGUGCGGUAGGGGAGACCGGAAUUCCUGGUGUAGCGGUGAAAUGCGUAGAUAUCUGGAGGAAUACCGGUGGCGAAGGCGGCAUCCUGGACCGGCAUUGACGCUGAUGAGCGAAAGCUAGGGGAGCAAACGGG